AAAAAGUGUAUUCCCCAGUGUCAUUGUAGGUAGAACAAAAAGUAGAGGGCUUCGAUUGUGCCAGGAAGGAGGCAUGCUAGCUUACUGUGGCACCUUGGAUUGUGUGCUGACCCAAGCAUGAAACUCCCCAAGUACAAGUAGGCACGUAAUACCCACCCAGUGUGAAUGAAGUCAGUGAGACUGAGCAACUGCAUGCGAGGGGGUUACGUAAAAGCUGGGUGUGGAGUAGCCUCCUUCUUUAUGAAGCACGGCUGAUUGCAGGGAUCUGAUGUGCAAAGUGCUAUGAAAACAUGCUGCCUGGGAAAAAAAAAGACUUUUGGGAUAAGAAAUCCUGUUGUUGCAGAUGUGCUAGUGGGGUGAAAAAGAAGAUGCUUGGUCAAGGAUUUUGUUUUGCCUUCACAAACAAGAAUUCCUGGAAAUAUUUUGAGCAAAUGUUAUUUUUAUUUACUAAGAGAUUGAGUUAACCUGUGAUGUCAUUCAGGCAGUAUCUUUGACCUCAUCUUGUGUAUGACACCCCCCCAGUCAAAUGUGAAAGCCCUGAAGAGAGAACACGGGAGUUAGCUGUGUGCAUCUGAAGAUGGGCAAUGUGGAAAGCAACCUGAAACAGCAGAGGAAUCAUCAGCUUCUCCUUGCCUUGUGUUGUGCAGUCACCUAUAGGCUUGACAGCCCAAUGUGUAGUAUAGCAUCAUCUUCACAGUUCUUAUCUCUUAUGUCCACAAACAAAAGAAGUGAGCAAAGAAAAUGAGUAAGCUUGUUGAAGGGAGAUCUGUUCUGUGAUCAUGGUUAAUCAAACAUGUAAUCAGCAUUUAAUCAAACAUUUAAUAAACUGCUUGCAUUUUGCCUUCUAAUUAGUUGCUGCCAAUUAUUGGGACUGAAGAGUGAGUUUCAAGGCGGACCUGGACAAAAAUAACCCAGAGGAAAACAGCUUGUGUGCCUUUGUGUUUGCCUUUCCAGCUCCUACUCAAAAGCUGGAUCGGUUUAUCUGCCUCCUUAGCAGUGGUAAGGACAGUGGUAAUGUGAUGGAUUUGAGUAGAAAUUUAGCUUUUUAUUUUUCCCUUUAAGAGGGAUUUAUCUUGUAUAACUCAUCAGCUUGUUGUGAUCACACCAAUGUUGUAAUGGGGAGGGGCAGGUACUAGAGAAUCUGGGUAAGUCCAUAAAGGGAAACAAAUGUAAAAGAUGUAGCUGAACUGUUGGCCUUAGGCUUUUUUUCUGGAGAGAGGGAGUGAGAACGAACGUAUGAGUAACAGAGCUCUGAUAUGAUAGUAUGAUUUAGCUUGUUGAGGCAGCUUCUGCAAAAUCUGAGGAGGCCCAAGAAAUUGUCUGGUUCUUCCAGUUAUGCGGUGUGGCAGACCUCCCAGCAGGUCUGAAUCUGGGCUACAAGAGAGUGUGGUUAAAAAAUGCAAUAGCAUUUGGGGGGUUGUAUAUCAGCUCCUGCGUGCCCUGGCCAAAUCUGGGAAAGUUGUAGUCUUAAACCACAUGUGCUCUGUCACUGAUGGAAACUAUGGGUGUAACAGCUGCUGUCCAGGAUAAGUUACAAAAAAAUAGGAUUAAUUAGAGCACCCUGUGUGUGUGUACCCCACUGUGUCUUGUGAGAGAUUAGUAGCAGGAUGUACUAUGGAAGGUCAGGGAUGUGGGAGACAGCAAGGCACAUGCUGUGGGUGUUGGCACUGCUGGGCAAAGUGGUGCCUGCUGAAGCUGAUCAGAAACAAUUGUUUGGUUCAGAGAGAUGCAAUGCUCUAAAUUUCUUGUAAGCAAACAGGAUUUACAUUGAAGAACUUUGUCAUUCACUUUACCUGAUGGAGGGAUGUGCAUUUUGUCUUUAACACCUUGGAUAAAAAACAGGCAGUAGUUGUGUUUUAUGAUUUAUAAAAGGUGUGUUGUUUUUUUCUUUUCCCCUCUUACAGUGCUGUAAACAAUCCACUUGAAGCAAACAAAAAAAUCGGUAUUCUGUCAGACAUAUACAUAUGCUGCUGCUUAAAGCAUAUGUAUAAGAAACCUAUGGGCUGAAAGAAAUAGGGAGAAUUUUAAUCUUUCUUUAACAGCAAACUUCAGCGUAAUGUAAAGCAGAUAAAAUGCCUGAUAAAAUAUAUGUUUGUAACACACAUAUAGAUGGCAUUUCUCUGAAGUGUUCUGUAUGCCUGGACAGGGAAUUUUCACCAGCUGGAGUGGAGAUUUCUUGGAGAUACAGUUUUGCUCUUUUCAGAUGCAGAAACUAUCGUGAGUGAUGAAGACAUUUUGCCUUGCUGUCUGAUCUCUGCUCCAGCUUCAGGUUUGCGCUUUAUGACCUUGGCUGGUCCUGUGCAAAACAAUCCUAUGUCCGUUUCUGCCCAAAGCUUUUAGUGUAUUUCUAUGAGUCUUCAUGACCUACAUUGUCUUAAUAUUAAAAGGUUGGCAGUAGUACCUUCUUCUGUGUAUUGUAUUUCCAAGCCCUCAAACUGCAGCCCCAUCCAGUCGGACCAAUGGAAGACUCUGUUCUCUUAUCUGAACUUUUGGUAAGGUUUUUGCUCAGGGUGUGUGUCUGUGGUGGUUUUUUUUGUUUAUUUUUAUUGCCCCCUGCCACUGUUCACAUCAGCUAUUAAUAUUAUUCUGCAUGGUGUAUAAUAAAAAACAUUUAUUAAUAUGCUGUCACUUCAUUUAGAUCUUUUCUUCUUGUAAGUAGGACAUACUCAAAUAUUGCAUGUUGCAGGCGUUUUAUUUCAUUUCAAGGAUCAUGUGUAGUUUGUGCAGAUCACCAAGAUGAUUCGCUGCAGCGCUGUCAUGCGCUCUAUUCUGUUGCCUCUUGGGGAGGCUGGCCAUUUGUCAAUAACUGGAAUAUUUUUCAAACAGUAUGAUCAUCACUUGCCAAGCUUUCAUUUUAUUGCAAGCCUCUCUAGUGAUGCUUCCAAAUAAAGUAAAAUAAUUUUUCUUUGAUCUGUUUUGCUGUAAACUCAAGCAGAAUAGUCAGUUACAGGGAAAGGAGAUGCCCAUUAUUGGUAUUGGCAUCUGAAUCUGUUCAAAUGGAGAAAAGCAAUCCAGUUCACACUUAUUUAAUUUGUACCGUGUAUUUUCUGCCAAACAUCUUUUUCUUCUCCAACAGGGUACUAGGUUGCAGAAUUGCACUUUUCAGGUUCCAGGUGCUCUUGUUUGCUGUUGACAUGGUUCGUACAUGUUUGGGGGGAGCUGUGUAGCAAAAUAAAGGUGAAACCCAAUUUCAAAUUAUAUUGGAAUGGCUUUUAGCCAGCUUGCCAGCCUGUCCUCUUUAAAAUAACAGCUGCAUUUGUAAGUGUCCCAAACUGAGGGCUGAAAAUUGAAAUGCAUCUCCAAAGGAGCAAAGAAAACAGAGGAACUGACUAGAAUAGUUAUGUGACGCUAAACUGAUGCAGAGUUUGAGGAGAAAAGUUUUCUAGGAAUGUCUUUUAAUUAUGUUACGCUAAAUCUUUCCAUGGAUGUCCUUUUAACCUGAUGAAACAUUGGAUUGGUAUCUGUGAUGGUGUGUACGGCUGGAUGCAGUAUCUUCUCGGCAUAGGAUCUUGUCAGUUAUGUCUAUGAAUCUAUGACUGAGUCUGGUUCCAUAAAUGAAGAGGAAAAUUUGUUCCUUGCAUGUGCAAGCAGUGGUCACUUGGUGAGUAUAGGAGAAAAGGAGUCACAAGUGCUCUCGAAGCUCAUGAAACUUGAGGGAGACCUGGUGUCUGACUUGUAACAGUGCCAAAACAUUAGGGCCAUCCUUUAUGGAGGGGGGAAAAAAAGUUGCAAUGGUUUUUUUUUUUCAGUGAGCAGACAUGUUAAGUUUCCUGUGUUAACUUUCUCUUGUUUGUAUAAUGAAGUUUUGCAUGAAGGAAAAAGCCCCAGACACCUAUAUAUCUUACUUGAAGCUUGGCUGGAGAUGAAUGAACUCAUUUUUGCGUGGCAAGUUGCUGAACUUAAAUACAUCUCUAAUUUCUGCCAGAAAAAUGCCCAGUCUCUUUUAGAGAUCCAAGAAGUGAAUAAAAUAAUACUGUGUAUUACACAUUUCUCAUGUGUGUCUCAGUGGGUGUCUGGCCUGUAUAAAAACUCCCAAAAGGUUCGUUUAAGGCUGGUUGCCAAAGUCUUGGAAAGCUGCAGUGGAUGUAUAACGUUUGGUUUCAGGGUUAGUGGAUUAAAAACCAUUUCUAGAUGAAAGCUGACUUGGCUGACGUGCUUUUCUCCCUGCACCCCUUGGUUUUAGUAGCAGGAGACCUGUAGAACCUGCAGUACCAGCCUGGGGCCCAGCAGAGCCUUGUCUCACUGGCCAUGCUGGACUGAUGGUGUGGGUGCAAUAUGGUUAUGUUGAAAAUGAGAGCAGCUGAAGCUGCUUCUCAGAAUGUCAAAGCAAGCCACUAGAGUGUUUUUAUUUGAGUGAAAGGCAAGAGGAAUCCAGGUUAAGACUUGUUAAA